rnacentral:rRNA from 1 species
UCAAUAAGCGGAGGAAAAGAAACCAACAGGGAUUGCCUUAGUAGCGGCGAGUGAAGCGGCAAAAGCUCAAAUUUGGAAUCUGCCAGCAAUGGCCGAGUUGUAAUUUGUAGAUGGUAACUCUGUAAGGAGUCUUUGCUCAAGUUUCCUGGAAUGGAAUAUCAUGGAGGGUGACAAUCCCGUGAGGCAUUGACGUACUUGCGUGUAGAGUGCUAUCAAAGAGUCGAGUUGUUUGGGAAUGCAGCUCAAAGUGGGUGGUAGACACCAUCUAAAGCUAAAUAUUGGCGAGAGACCGAUAGCGAACAAGUACUGUGAAGGAAAGAUGAAAAGCACUUUGAAAAGAGAGUGAAAAAGUACGUGAAAUUGUUAAUAUGGAAGGGUAUAAGAUUAGACAUGAAGCUUUGAGUUCGGCAGUCUCUCGGGAUUGUUUUGUCUCUUAGUUUCGCACCAGCAUCAGUUUUGGCAGGAGGAUAAACAACAUGGAAUGUAGCUGCUUGCAGUGUUAUAGACUUGUUGCAUACUCUUUGCCGGGAUUGAGGUCAGCCUUUGUAGGAUGCUGGGGUAAUGAUCUUAUACCACCCGUCUUG